CCACCACCACAUGACACGAAGACAAUACAGGCCCCUCUUUUUAUGUAUUAUAUAACACUAUUAUCCCACCAUAUUUAACACACAAAUACAUGAACACACACACACACACACUUGCUUUUGUUCUUGUCGAUUUGGUUUUGUUUAUGCAGAUUUUAUUUUUCGAUUUUACCUAGCUAAUCGCUUAUGAAUUUUUUUUUUUUUUUAUUUUUUUGUUUUUUCGUUCGGUUUUACCUAAUCCAAAUAAAAAUAUACCAUGAUUGAUGGAGCCGUGGAGCGUGAUUUUUUAUGUUGCUUCUAGAGAGGACGAAGUGGGUUUGAGAAGGUACGCCUGGUUACUGUUCUGAUUUAACGGAAAAAGUGUCGAUUUCUAGGGCCAUCUUGGAAAUAAAAUAAAAAUAUGAAAACCUAACUCCUUUGUUUUUCUGCCAAUUUUUCUGCUUGUGGGCAAAUAAUUUAUUACCCAAUUCUUGAUCCAUUCCUUCAGCAAUAUCAGCCUUAUGUUGCUCAGACAGGUUGUUUUAUGCGAAAUUUGUAAUUUUAUUUGUAAAGGUAAUAUGUGAUUUUAUAUUUUAUGUGAAUUUUUAUCUCUUAAACUAUGCAUAUCUUACCUGUUAUGUAAUAUUUGAUUUUCUAUUGUUUGCGAGGAAGCGUUCUCACUGCAAAUUACAAUAAUAUGGAAGCAACUCAAAUAUGGGAAGAUUUUUGUUUCCUUCUAUGGCCAUAUAUACAUACAGUCAUGUCUAUACGAACAAGAAAGGAAAAUCCUUCACAGCAGUUAAUACUUGGCUUUGGGUCCAAUAGACAGAAACUCGAUCACUCAGGUUUUCCAUAUAGAUUGACCUGGAAAAGGCUUUAAAGGAUUCUACUUGGAUUCAAGAAUGGACAUUGGACUUAGGUAUGUGUCUAUAUACGGGUAUAAAAUGGACUAAGGAGAAUUUUAUGUUCCAAUCUUUGCCUUUAUGAUUUUUAAUAGUAUCCAAGUUCGUCGCACAGAAAAAUCUCAAAUUUCCUAACCAAUAAUCUGGAUUGAAUUGCAUUAUGUUUCUAAUUUACAUAACUUUGUGGUAUUAUAAAUGAAAGGUGAAUAAUAGGAAGUAUGAUACCGAAUGGCAAUUAUUCUCACACAUUGUAAAAUGUUAUCGAAAUGUUGUCACUAACAGAACACAGUGGCAGCAGGUAAUAGAACUUUAAUGGUCAGUUUUGAAUUAAAUUUUCAAUUUAGAUAACUCCGGCAAUCUAUUUUCCCCUUUGAUGAUUAUUUAUAGAUGUAUCCACAUUUAUUCUGCUGUUGUCUGUGCUUUUGACUAUGUAGAUUUUAGCCGCCUGAAAUGAAAAAAAAAAAAAAAAAAAUUGUUUUAUCUAUAUGAUUUGCUCUUUUAUCAUGGUUGUACUUCUGUCAUUUUCAUAUUUUGUUUUGGUUGGUAUCUCUUUGUUCGCUUCUCUUUCUCUUUUGGCAUGUGUAUUCCUUCAUUGUUUGUGCAUGUAUUUUAUUUGUUUUAUCUUAAUCUGAAUGUUGGAUUAGAAUACGGUAAGAAAUAAGUUGUUUCCCAGUAAAGGUUAUCACUAGAUUUAUGAAUCCCAGUAAAGGUUAUUACUAGAUUUAUGAAACUUUUAGAGUGUGUUUGAUUACCAAUAUAUUCCAUAGAAAAUGUGUUUUUUCCACCCAAAUUCUUACUCUUGUUUUGUUUGAUUGACAAAGUUUUCGAAUGAAAGUAUUUUCUUAGUUUUGGUCACUUGACCAUUUUUUCUUGAUUAUAUUUUCUU